GCAGGCGGUUUGUUAAGUCAGAUGUGAAAGCCCGGGGCUCAACCUCGGAACCGCAUUUGAAACUGGCAGGCUAGAGUCUUGUAGAGGGGGGUAGAAUUUCAGGUGUAGCGGUGAAAUGCGUAGAGAUCUGAAGGAAUACCAGUGGCGAAGGCGGCCCCCUGGACAAAGACUGACGCUCAGAUGCGAAAGCGUGGGUAGCAAACAGGAUUAGAUACCCUGGUAGUCCACGCCGUAAACGCUGUCUACUUGGAGGUUGAGGUUUAAGACUUUGGCUUUCGGCGCUAACGCAUUAAGUAGACCGCCUGGGGAGUACGGCCGCAAGGUUAAAACUCAAAUGAAUUGACGGGGGCCCGCACAAGCGGUGGAGCAUGGGGUUUAAUUCGAUGCAACGCGAAGAACCUUACCUACUCUUGACAUCCAGUGAACUUUCCAGAGAUGGAUUGGUGCCUUCGGGAACACUGAGACAGGUGCUGCAUGGCUGUCGUCAGCUCGUGUUGUGAAAUGUUGGGUUAAGUCCCGCAACGAGCGCAACCCUUAUCCUUGUUUGCCAGCACGUAAUGGUGGGAACUCCAGGGAGACUGCCGGUGAUAAACCGGAGGAAGGUGGGGACGACGUCAAGUCAUCAUGGCCCUUACGAGUAGGGCUACACACGUGCUACAAUGGCAGAUACAGAGGGCAGCGAAGCUGCGAAGUGGAGCGAAUCCCUUGGAGUUUGUCGUAGUCCGGAUUGGAGUCUGC
rnacentral:rRNA from 1 species